UUUACUGUAAGACGUACUGUAAGAUGCAUGAUAGGUAGCCAGCAAAGAGGCCGAGAAGGAUGGGAAGUCAAGAGUCACAGAUAGGCCAGCAGCAGGACAUGGCCUGGGAAGGACAGGGAAGGGAGGGGAUUUGUGUGCCUGUCUGCCUACCAGUCCAUAGACUGUGUCUCUCCUUCAAAAUAAGUCCUCUCUGCCUACCUGACUUCCCCUUCAGUUCUUCACAACCUCCUCACCACCAUCAGACCCCAUCACUACUUCCUGUGGUAGGAGGGAAUACCUUGGCUAAGAUCUGUGAGAUUGGGGAUAAUUAGCUCCUCCUGGCCAGCCAACCAGCCCCCCUCCUCUUGGACACUUCCCGCAUUUGGGAGUGCACGAGGCCACUGCUCAGGGACAGUGCUCGCCCUCCCCACCAAAAACCCAGUUUCUGAUGCGUACAGACUUCCCCCACACUGAGAGGGUUUAGCCGAAGUGUGUACUACAGAGGAUGAAGGUCAUUUUCUGAAGCCCAGAAGACCCUGGGCCCAUUCUAAACAUCCGCAGGGUUGUAUUAGCACCAUCUGAGAGCAAGGAGCAAAAAGAGACCUUAGAUACCCCCAGAGAAGCAGCAGCUUAAUGGGGUCCCUGCCCCUCUUGGCAUUUUCUAGCACGUUGGUUUGCCUCUUGCCCCUCUGUUGAUUUCCUCUUCUCCAUCUCUGAAUUGUUCCUGACCCUCUCUGGCCUAUUUGGUUUCCCUCUGAGGGGAGGGGAGAGCACCUUCCCCUACCAGCAGCAGCUGGCUUCAGGGCCCUGUUUAGUAGCUGUGUCCCUCUUGCCCAGGCCUUGCUUCUGGCCCAACGUCUUGCCUGGGUCCCAACUCAGUUCAUCAGGAGCAUUUCUAGUCACUGACUAUGGGCAAACCACCCAAGAUCAUCAGAAACAAGCCUUCAGUGAGGGCCAGUCUAAUGCUUAUCCACCUCCACUCCACUCCUGGGCCAAGAACCCUCUCAUGAUGGGCACUAAAUCACUUAAUGCCCCCACUGCGAUGCCACUACCUUGUCACACCCCAGCAUGAUAAACAUCACUGCUCCAAAGGAGCUCAUUCCACUCCACCCAUUCCACCAUUUAACGUUUAGCUCUGGAUCCACGGAGAUGAAAAAUGAAAGCAACUUCCAGAAGCUUGAUUUCCUGGAUCUGGGUCUUACAAGUACCCCAUCGCCUAUCUCAUUUGCCCAGAUUUGAACACCAUGAUAAGAUCAUCAGGAGUGGCCUGUGAGCAUCAGUAAGAUUCUGAAGCAUUCAUACAAAAUGGGUAUAAGUUCGUAAAUGCAGUGCUUUCUGGAAUCUUGAGGGAGACACCGAGAACUCUAUAAAUUUUCUUUGUAAAUUAGUAGAACCAUAUUCAGUGGAAAUCGAGCUAAAAAAGACUUUGAAGACUUGGCAGUUAAGUUAGCUAAGCUCUUUUCAGGGCUGUCUCUCUUAGCUCGCUCAGUCCUGGCUCAGUACCUAUUGCCGCUGGGUCUCCAUUUUGCCUCAGUCCUUCUCAUUGUUGCCUUUUUGUCUUCUUCUCUGUAGCUCCUCAUACCUCCUCCUAUAUCUCUCCUACCCUUUUUUCCCCCCAGACACUAUGGACCAGAGCCCCUUCACUCGGGUGGGUAGUCCCGGUGUCUUGGUACUUCAGUUGUGAGCCAGCAGGUUCCCCCACCCUUCAGCACACUAGGGGUAAUUUGGGGACUCAAAAGCAUCCUUCACUCUUCUUCCAACAUCACCUUCUCUUAGCUACCUCAGCGCUGCCCACGCUGCACCUCCCCCUGCCCCCAGCUAAUGCCUCUGAUUCAAUGGCUUGAUAAAGGGGAACGCGGAAACUUGUACAGCUAGGAAAAGACCAAAAGAAAUGGAGUGCUUCCUUUUCUCUGUUCAGAACCUUUAGGAAUGGCACCAUGUACUCUCCAGAGUAUUCAGCAGCCUCCAUUGAUGGGCACCCUUCCUGUCAAAUAGAAAAUGGUUUUCUUGUCUCGGGACCUCUUUGGGGAGCCUCACCCCCUCAGCCCUCAAAGACCAGGGCUCCUUGAGAAAGUGGGCCCUUGUGAUAAUGAUGGAUGGGAAUUUCUAAUGGAGUCUUGAAUCUUACCACCAUUCCCUUUGCCCAGGAGAGAUGACUAGGGGCGUUGCUCCCCCAGCCCUGCCCCCAGCAACCACAACAGCUGUAAUGCAAUGAACUGUCAUCUCACCCAGUGCCUGCCCACACGACUUCCCAUUCUCCUUCUCACCUGCAUGUCCCUCUCUCAGACCUCACUUCUAUCAGGCCUUAUUUAAGAUCGAUUGGGGAAGGAUAAUCUCUCCUCACUCCUACAGCCCAUCCUUUGGGCUCCCAGCUCCAGCACUUACCAACACCCUUAUUCUUUAGUUCAAUCCUCCCUUCUCAUCCCCCAGUGGAGGGGUUGCUUGUGCAAUUCUCAUGAUUACAGGGGAGCCAGAGAAAGUAGCUGGAAUGGCCUAUUUUCCUGGCUCCCUUUUCCUUCUCUCAGUUCUGAUUCCAUGUGAACGACUGGACUCAAGCAGCCUCUCGCUCGGCCUUCCAAGAGGGGCAAUAGUAAUAGCUAGCACUUCCUGAGGGACAACUAUAUGGCAAGCAUGUAUUUGCUCGGCGUUUCUGGGCGGCCAGCUAUAAAUCCCUUCCACAGACUCUCUUUUAUUUUGCCACAUUUUCCAUCUCUUUUAACUCCCUGUCUCUCUCUUCACCUCUGACUCCUCCUCUUCUAAAAAGCCACGUGGUGAUCCACUGCCACUCUUCCAGAGGCCAUAUCUUCUGUGGUUGUACCUUUAGAGGAUGGGCCAUUCCAUCCUGAGCUCCAACCAACCCUACAUACUCUAAGGAGUCCAGGCCUCCAUUUUACCAUCCAAGCCAACUCUUACUUCCAAGCCUUGGCAGAGAGACCAUUUCCAUGUGCAGUAACAGUACAGCCUCAUGUGCCUGCCAGCCUGGUCCCUAUCCCCUGGGCCUUUAGGGUCCCCAGCAGUGACCCCAUCAUUUCACCUAGGUCCCAGAACCUAUCCAGGCCACAGGAAUAGCCUCAGCUUUUCACAUUCUACAAAAGCUGCAAAAGACACCUUAUACCCCCGGCUUUCUGAGGGCUACCAGUGUCCUCCCUCCCAGCCACCUUUCCUCCCUCUGACCCGCUCAUUUUCCCACCAAUUUGUUAACUAACCAAGUCCCCCUUUACUAAAGUGACUCAUUCGCUAUGGCAAAACCACAUUCUUUUGGAAGAUUCAUUUUGGAUUUUUAGACCCCCAAAUACAUUCCUUCUUUUGGGGGAGAAAAUUGCCUCUCACUCUACUAAAACGACGCUGGAUUUUGAGCAUGAAAAAUGGCUUAACCGGUAUUGCAGCAACCGUUCCCCUACAGUCUCCAGAUGAGGGAACUGGCGGGUAACUGCCACCGGCCCUACCCAGACUCAUCAUUCAUUGGGUUACUGAUCUGUCAAUCACUUCUGCUGGGCCAAUGAGCAGCACUGCCUCACAGGAAACAGAUUGGAGGACAGGCGAGUGGUUUCCCUGGCUGUUAGAGCCUAUGGAGAUCACCCUGUUCCUUUCACAUGCUGCCCUGGCUGCUGGGAGCUGUGGAACGUGAGCAAGCAGGCAGUGGGGAGGGGGCAGUCAAGUCGGCCUAGAUCUACAUGCAGUUCCCAUAAUCGGUCCUUUUGAAAACUUCCCACUGGCCUAUCGAACAAGCAUCUGUACCCACAAUACGAGUGAGUUCCCUGCAUUUGCCAUCUUGUCUCAACUGACACCACCUACGGAAGCUGACAAUGGCCGUUGGGCUUUUCCAGUGGAUGCCGGAACCCAUUUCUUGCAGCCUGGGGGGGAAGGCAGAAUAACUGGCAGCAGGAGGAACAGAGAGAGGAGGCAACUUGGCCAAGGUCAGGUAGCAAGUGAGGAAAAGGCCCCUCUCCUUUGGGGUCUGGGUUCGUUGCCGACUGGGCCUGCCCUGAAGACAGCCAAGUGAGGACAGCCCAUCAUCCUGGAGCUGCUGCCGCAAAUCCAAAUUAGCCAGAGGAAGGCAGCAGGCAGCACCAGGGAGGAUGAGCACCCAAGGGCCGGCCAUGCACCCUCCAUGUCCAGAAGGUAAUAGACACCUGCUUCCUUGUCUCUUUGUGCCUGCCCCCUGGCCCCCGUUUUCCUCUCUUGAGUCCUCCCCAGGUGUGGGGACAGGAGCACAGCCCUGGGAUUGGCAGGGACAAGGGGAGGAGACUGUGCUUUUCUGGUAGCCAGCCUUGCUCAUCGAUUCCCUAGAGCUGCUCACUGAUCCAGCACAAGAUGGUUUAAUUGAAGUCAUUACAAUAAAUGGUGCAGAAAAGCAACACCCUUAGUCUGCCAGAAGCCUCAGAGAAGCAGGGGAGGGCACUGGGAAACCCAGCGGAAGCAGCUGAAGUUAGCUCGCAGUUGCUGUGGUGGAAAAGGGACUGGGCUGAGAAAGCAGGUAGUCCUGGGUUCGAAUCCUGACUGGGUCGCUAGCAAGCUGUGCACCCUUAGUAAAGUUCCUUUAGCUUCCUGAGCUGCUGUGUUCCUGUCUCCAGGAAGCCUUCCCUCCUUCAUCCCUCAUUUCUCCUUCCCCCACACACCGUUAGCACUUGCUAACUUUGACACUGAUUUGGCUUCCAGCACUCUCUGUCUGCUUAGCAAUCUUUUCCCUCCGUAGUUUGUCUUCUCAUCUAGAUAACAAGCAGGAACUGUAUCUUCUCUUUCUCACCCUUAUGUGCCUAUCACAUGCCUAACAUUGUAAUUGUACCCAGCGGGGUGGGGGAGGGGAGGGGAGUGGCAAGGUGGAGUGAGGGGCAGAGAUUCAGAACCCGGGGGUGGGCACAGAAAGAACGCAGCAGGGGCUGGUAGAUGACAAUCUACCCUGAGCUCCCUUCCCAGAUAAUUGGAACGAUGCAGCCAUUAUAUUCGUAUACCUUUAGCAUGAGACACAGCCCUCUCUGUGCCCAGGCCCAGCUGGCUCUCUGCUCGGCAUCAUGAACUACUAUCUGAUUCAGUAGCAGAGGACAGAGGAUCCAGGUCAUGAAAUCAUCAAAUUCUAGCAUCAAAAGACAAAACCGUGCAGCAAAAGUGAUAUCUUGGUACUUCCAAGUCUAAACCCUAAGGAGCCUUGCAGCUUCCACGUGGGGUGUCUUGGAACACCUGAUCUUGGAAUGUUCCCUCUCAGAACUCAGACAUCACACCAUGAGAAGCCCAAACCACGUGGAGAAGCCAGGUCGAGGUACUCCAUGUGCCAGGGCCAGCCGAGUUCCCAGCUCAUGGCAUCAACUGCGAGCCCUGAGAGUGCGCCAUCUUGGACAUCCAGCCCCAUGGAGCCUGCAGGUGACUCCAGCUCUAACCAUGGCCUGAUGCAACCACUUGAGAAAUCCCAAGAAAGAAUCUCCCAGAUGAGCCCAGUCAACCCGUGGAACUGAUUCAGGGAAGAUGCACGUCAUUGUCAGCAAAGCACCAAGCCAUCUGGCCUUUGUUUUACCUUUGAGUUGAUGUGAAAUUUCCGGCUUCACAUUUGGACAGUCCUUGAUCUGAGCCCCAGAGCCCCAGAGGUGAUUGGGAGCAUCACUGUGAGAAGCCACCAUUUUUUGGACACCAACUACGAUCCGCAGUGUCCCAAGGGCUUUAUUUAUUUUAAUCUUGUGUUUAACCUUCCAGUUUAAUCUUGUGUUUAAUCUCGUGUUUAAUCUUCCAGUAACCCUAUGAGGGCAGGACUAAUACCUCAUUUUAAGGAUCAGAAAAUUUAGUCUCAAAAAGAAAUGCAUGCCAAAUUGCAGAGCUGCAAUUCAAACCUAGGCCUGCCCAAUUCCUAGGAUCUGCUCUUUCCUGUAUGCCGAUUCGAUCAGUUAUAUAUUGCUACAAUAACAUCGUGAAACAAUCACGAAACCUCAGCGGUAUACAACAAUAAGCACCUAUUGCUUGCCCAUCUGGGAUGGUUAGUUAGCUAAGUGGUUCUGCUGAUUAUGGCAAGGCUCACUAACAUGCCUACACUUUGGUUGGCCUUUGAGUGAUGGAGGCUGUCUCAGCUGGGACAGUUGGGGCCACUCAGCUCCACUCCACAUGUCGCUCAUUCUCCAUUAGGCCAGCCCAGGCAUGUCCCCAUGGCAGUGGCAGAGUACAAGAAAGAAAGCAAACCAGACUGAUGGCACAAGUACUUUUCAAGCUUUUUCUUACAUCACAUUUGCCUUUAUCCCAUGGGCCUGAGCAAGGUACAUUGCCAAGCCCAGAGUCAGAGAAGAUGAACAUUGCAGAUGACGUGGCAAAAGGUGGGGUGCAGGGAAAGAUAAAGAUUUGUGACCACUUCUGCAAUCUAUCCACUAACCUUGGGCAAGUUAGAGCCCCCUCUUAGAGCCUCUGUUCCUGCAUUUUUUUAAAUGUUUAUUUAUUUAUUUUGAGAGAGACAGAGAGCAGGAGAGGGGCAGAGAGAGAGGGAGACAGAGAAUCCCAAGCAGGCUCCUCACUUGUCAGCACAGAGCCCGAC